GCUUUUCCUUAUUUUUCCUCUAAUACUAAAAUGGUGGUGCCUCAUUCUCUUGGAUAAUUUUCCUGUUGAAAGUAGGAAACAUGUCCUCACUGCGUGCAAGUGCCAGAAGAGCAGGAGAUUUAAAUCUGCAGCAGGGAGCCAAGGAUAACAAAAGACCUCCACACUGCAGUUGGAUGGCUGUGGAAAAACCUCUGUGUCUUCAGAGGUUUGGUGAAAGAGCUGAGGUUCCUCCAACUGAAAGAGGAAGACCAGAAGAAAACUCUUCUUCAAGCUUUCACAGGCCGAAAUGGCUGACGACCAGCAACUGGCCAAAUAACCUUUUGUUUUCCAGUUCCAAUUUAAGGGUAAUAUGGACAUUUUUCUCGAUGAGUGCAUGGACAAAAGGGGCCUCAAAAUAA